rnacentral:rRNA from 1 species
UACGUAGGGGGCAAGCGUUGUCCGGAAUCAUUGGGCGUAAAGAGCGUGUAGGCGGCUCGGUAAGUCCGCUGUGAAAGUCCAGGGCUCAACCCUGGAAUGCCGGUGGAAACUGUCGAGCUAGAGUCCGGAAGAGGCGAGUGGAAUUCCUGGUGUAGCGGUGAAAUGCGCAGAUAUCAGGAGGAACACCGGUGGCGAAGGCGGCUAUCUGGACGACAACUGACGCUGAGGCGCUAAAGCGUGGGGAUCAAACAGG